CCUACGGGUGGCAGCAGUGAGGAAUAUUGCUCAAUGGGCGAGAGCCUGAACCAGCGAAGCCGCGUGAAGGAAGAAGGAUCUAUGGUUUGUAAACUUCUUUUAUAUGGGAAUAAAGUGAGGAACGUGUUCCUGUUGGCAUGUACCAUAUCAAUAAGCAUCGGCUGAAUCCGUGCCAGCGGCCGCGGUAAUACGGAGGAUGCGAGCGUUAUCCGGAUUUAUUGGGUUUAAAGGGUGCGUAGACGGUUAAGUAAGUCAGCGGUGAAAGUUUGUGGCUCAACCAUAAAAUUGCCGUUGAAACUGGUUGACUUGAGUAUAUUUGAGGUAGGCGGAAUGCGUGGUGUAGCGGUGAAAUGCAUAGAUAUCACGCAGAACUCCGAUUGCGAAGGCAGCUUACUAAACUAUAACUGACACUGAAGCACGAAAGCGUGGGGAUCAAACAGGAUUAGAUACCCGGGUAGUC
rnacentral:rRNA from 1 species